rnacentral:lncRNA from 10 species
CGCCUGUAAGCCCAGCACUUUGGGAGGCUGAGGCGGGUAGAUCAUCUGAGGUCAGGAGUUCGAGACCAACCUAGCCAACGUGGUGAAACCUCAUCUCUACUAAAAAUACAAAAAUUAGCUGGGCAUGGUGGCACUUGCCUGUAGUCCCAGCUACUUGGGAGGCUGAGGCAGGAGAAUCACUUGAACCCAGGAGGCGGAGGUUGCAGUGAGCUGAGAUUAUGCCACUGCACUCCAGCCUGGGUAACA